rnacentral:lncRNA from 13 species
GUUUUGUGUCCCUGCUCCCCUCUUCCCCUGCACCUCUGCACAAUUCCAACGUUGGCAUACCCGGGAACCCAGGUGCUGGCCUCCCUGCACCGUCACAGCUAAUUCCAAGACGUGCAGGCACCGCGCUGCCUCUGUCUCUGCUGUAAACAACCGGCAUGAAUCAUCGCGGAAGUCAGUAGUCAUCUCUCCCCCGUUGGCAAAGACUGUGGAACUGACCCGCUGGAAGCCGCAGAGGGAAGAUAACCUGGAGGAAAAACUAGAGCUGAAAAGCUGCAGCUGGGACUGAAGACUGGAGGCGGGGGCAGUGAGCCCUUCUGUUCUGGGUAGGGCUGAGCUCUCCCAGCGAAGGGCCUAUGUCACCAGCAGCAACCUCUCAGGGGAGCCCUGGCUGCUGAGUGGCUUCUUUGGGUGGUGUGGCCUCCCUCUGGCCAGGCCUACAGAGUGGCCCUCCAGCACCUGGCCUUGCUGAGUCCCUGUCGGCCUGCUCUGGGGGAAGGGGCUGAUAGUUCAGACGUUCAGAGAAGGUGCCUGGUGCCUCAGGAACUGGAAAUGACUUUCUGCAAAGAACCACUCUUCCCCACGAGACUUAGAGAAGACCCACUGUCAUGGACUGACUUGUGUCCUCCUAAAAUUCAGAUGUUGGAGACCUAACCCCUAGUAACUCAGAGUGUAACCGUAUUUGGAGAGAAGGUCUUGAAAGAGGUGAUUAAGGUAAAAUGAAGUCACUAGAAUGGGCCCUAAUCCAACCUGACAGCUGUCCUCAUAAGAAGAGGAGAUGAAGGCACAGACAGACACGGAGGAAAGACCAUGUAGGGACACAGGGAGAAGACGGCCACAUACAAGCCGAGGAGAGAGGCCAGAGAAGAAACCAGCUCUGCCCAUGCGUUGAUCUGGGACUUCCAGCCUCCAGCACGGAGCUGGGGCCCCUUGAGCUUGUCGAGCUCCUUCUGUGACUGAUCAGUGAUUCCACCAUGAGUCUAGCUCCUGGCCCCGUGCUCUGGAUACCCGUCCCUGGCAGCAUGCUGGGCAGCCAAAUGGACAGCUCUAUAAGACUCAAGCCGACAGUGGAGAGAGUGCAACCGACAGCCUUGGCCCGGCUUUCAGAGGAGAACGUUAUUCACCCCAACUGCUCUGCAUCUGCCUGGAUGUCUGCCAAGAUCUGUGAGCACUACAGCGUUGGUAUGCUUUGGGUGAGGCCUGUGGCCAUGGCAACGGGUUGGGAGCAACUGGGUCCUUGGGAAUGAGAACAGCGGCUAAAAUCAGUUGGGCGAGGGGUAGGGAGGAGAGGUAAAGGUUGGACUUGCCUGAAGAUGGAGCCGUUUUAUUGUUGUGGUUUAUUGCUGCUAUGGUCAGGGACUGUUUACAGAGCCAGUGCAGCUCAAGCUGGGAGCAUGUUAGACUCUGCGACUACGAUCAACUUAUUGAUUUGUUCCCAUCAGACAGAGUAAAUUAACUGUGGUAGUACUGGCCAUGUACCACUAACCUCCUGUGAACCAGCCCUUGUUGAAACAUUUCUGUGAGAGGCCAUGGUGUUCCCGUAAGAGGGUGCAUGUUAUCUUCCUUGACUAACUCUUCAAUAAGCCUCAUCUUCACACACUGGUGUGCAGGAAAGAGUCCCACAUGCUCCAUUGACACAGAUGCUCUGUAUGUGGAAAGUCUUUGAGUAGAGCACUGGGCUCAGGUUUGAAGAUGUGAGUUCUAAUCCCAGCAAGGCCGUUGCUCCCCAGUGAUUUCCUUAUCCACAAAACAAGGGCAUUGGUGACGUGACCUCCAAGGCCUCUCCAGUUCUCACCUUCUGUGUCUCUACAGACUGGAGAGUAGAAGAUUAUGAGGCACUUUUAUUAGUUGAGUCUUCUUCCUUUUUGCUUUCCAUUUCUUUAAAGCCAUCAGCUGGAAUUGAGGACAAGUUUUUUUUGUUUUGUUUUGGUUGUUUUUUUGAGACAGUCUUACUCUGUUGACCAGGCUGGAGUGUAGUGGUGUGAUCUCAGCUCAGUGCAACCUCCGCCUCCUGGGUUCAAGAGAUUCUCCUACCUCAGCCUCCCGAGUAGCUGCGACUACAGGCACAUGCCACCACACCCACCUAAUUCUUGUAUUUUUAGUGGAGGUGAAAUUUCACCAUGUUGGCCAGGCUAUUCUCGAACUCCUGACCUCGAGUGAUCCGCCUGCCUCAGCCUCCCAAAGUGCUGGGAUUUUAAGAGUGAACCACCACGCCCGGCCGAAGACAAAUUUUAACAAUGGAUAAGUUUCUUUUCUUUUUGUCUCUCUCUUUAAAAAAAAAUUUAUAUAUAUAAAAAUAAAAGCUGAGGAUGGUGGCUCA